rfam:Camelus ferus unplaced genomic scaffold scaffold56579, whole genome shotgun sequence.
AAGGAGAAACACCAGGAACCUGGAUUGGAGUGCGUUUCAUGGGCGCGUGGAAACGCCCAGGAGACAGCGGCGACGGCGCAGACUGGGACCGCCAGGAGCGCGGGGUGGGAAGCGGCUGUUGGCUGCCAGGCCUCUUACUCGAGUCUGGCUGGGGAUGGGCCCCAGAACUUUUCAGCGAAGCCCAUGUGAAGCAACCAUCAAGGUAGUGGCAGUUUUACAAAAAUGCCGAGCGUUUU